rnacentral:rRNA from 1 species
GUCCACGUCCAAGGGUGUAGGGAGUGAGAUAGGCAAAUCCGUCUCACACAUAUCCUGAGACCUGAUAGUGACCGCGAAUGCGGGAAGCAGGGUGAUCCUAUGCUGCCAAGAAAAUCUUCUAGCGAGGUUCGAGCCGCCCGUACCCCAAACCGACUCAGGUGGUUAGGUAGAGAAUACCAAGGCGAUCGAGUGAAUCGUGGUUAAGGAAUUCGGCAAAAUGCCCCCGUAACUUCGGGAGAAGGGGGGCCCAGACUCUGAAGUCACUUGCUGACUAGGGGAAAGGGCCGCAGAGACCAGGGAGAAGCGACUGUUUACUAAAAACACAGGUCCGUGCGAAGUCGCAAGACGAUGUAUACGGACUGACGCCUGCCCGGUGCUGGAAGGUUAAGAGGACGGGUUAGAUCUUCGGGUCGAAGCUCAGAAUUUAAGCCCCAGUAAACGGCGGUGGUAACUAUAACCAUCCUAAGGUAGCGAAAUUCCUUGUCGGGUAAGUUCCGACCUGCACGAAUGGCGUAACGACUUCUCCACUGUCUCAACCGCGAACUCGGCGAAAUUGCACUACGAGUAAAGAUGCUCGUUACGCGCAGCAGGACGGAAAGACCCCGGGACCUUCACUAUAGCUUGGUAUUGGUGUUCGGGACGGCUUGUGUAGGAUAGGUGGGAGACUUUGAAGCCGGCACGCCAGUGUCGGUGGAGUCAACGUUGAAAUACCACUCUGGUCGUUCUGGAUGUCUAACCUCGGUCCGUGAUCCGGAUCAGGGACAGUGCCUGGUGGGUAGUUUAACUGGGGCGGUUGCCUCCUAAAAGGUAACGGAGGCGCUCAAAGGUUCCCUCAGCCUGGUUGGCAAUCAGGUGUCGAGUGUAAGUGCACAAGGGAGCUUGACUGCGAGAGAGACAUCUCGAGCAGGGACGAAAUUCGGAACUAGUGACCCGGCGGUGGCUUGUGGAAGCGCCGUCGCUCAACGGAUAAAAGGUACCCCGGGGAUAACAGGCUGAUCUUGCCCAAGAGUCCAUAUCGACGGCAUGGUUUGGCACCUCGAUGUCGGCUCGUCGCAUCCUUGGGGUGGAGUCGCUCCCAAGGGUUGGGCUGUUCGCCCAUUAAAGCGGUACGCGAGCUGGGUUUAGAACGUCGUGAGACAGUUCUGUCCCUAUCCGCUGUGCGCGUAGGAAACUUGAGAAAGGCUGACCCUAGUACGAGAGGACCGGGUUGGACGAACCUCUGGUGUGUCAGUUGUUCUGCCAAGAGCACCGCUGAUUAGCUACGUUCGGAAGUGAUAACCGCUGAAAGCAUCUAAGCGGGAAGCACGUUUCAAGAUGAGGUUUCCAUGGGGCUUGCCCCGAGAGGCUCCCGGCUAGACUACCGGGUUGAUAGGCCAGACGUGGAAGUGCAGUAAUGCAUGUAGCUGACUGGUACUAAUAAGCCGAUAACUUGAUACC